GGCAAAGCGGUCAGGCUGGCAGGCUGAGCGGUCACCGUGCAAAAAAGCUGGUUUGGGCACUGUUUCCUGGCUGGAGAGUUCAGGCCAGGACCCAGGACUUCAGGACCCUGGCCUUUGUGGAGGGCAAUACUCGUAACUACUGCGGGUCUUUUUCUCGCUUGUACGAUUUUAUUUAUGUUAAGAACUAGUUAAACAAAGGUAUGGGUGGUUAUUGCAGUCAGUGAACCCACGUGAAGGCACGUAAAGGAAAAGGUAUGAACGUUCUUGUGUCAGAGGCCCCUGGUACCGCCCCCAGGCCCUGCUUUCUAGUUUUGGGGUGCAUAUCCGGAAGUGGGAUUGCUGGGUCACAUUGUAAUUCCAGGUUUAAUUUUUAGAACUGUCCAGCUGCUUUCCUCGGCACCUGCCCCAUUUCGCGUUCCUGCCAGUGAUGCAUGAAGGGUCCCUAUUUUGCCACACCCUGGCUAAUGUUAUUUUCUGGGUUUUGAUAGUACAGUAUUGAUGGAUGUGUACUGUGGGGUCAUAAGAUUUGACCUGAAGAACCACCAUUGAGGGGCGCUGCCCGGCUGGCUCAGUCAGUGGGGCAUGUGACUCUUGAUCUCAGGGUUGAGUUAGCCCUACAUUGGGUGUGGAGCCUACUUAUAAACAAAACAAAAAAAACCAAAACACCACCACAAUAAAGUCAAAAAUGCUCCCUAGGUAGCGCCCCUCCACCCUUCUCCUCGGGCAUCCAGCCUGUCAGCCCUCGCUUGCUUCUCAGGGAAUUUGACCCCCUCGAGCCCAGGCUGUCUCCAGAGCAUAGACACGGGGCCUGUGAACAUCGUGGGGCCCAAGCCCCUGGGAUUGCCCCCUGAAGGGCUGGUCCGGGGCCUGUGUGAGCGGGCACGGAAUUUACGGGGAGGGUGGACAUGAUGGGGGUGCCAGCAGAGAGGAGAGGCUGGGAGCCCUGGGAAGGGGGACGGGCAGUGGUGCUCCCCUCCUGGCUUGCUGGAACUUUGCUCUUUGGAAACGGGCUCCCUUUCCUGGGCUGGCUGGCUGGCGCAGGCCCCGAGCAGACGCCCUCUCCUGCCCAUCUACACAAGGUGCACUGAGGAAAGGCCACGUGAGGACACAGCAAGAAGGCAGCUGGCAGUCUGCAACUCGGGAAGCAGGAACUUCCUAGAAACAAGUCCUGCCAGAACCUGGAUCUCAAUUUCCAGCCCCCAGAAUGGAGAACAUUUUUAUCCUGUUGCUUGAGCCACCCAGUCUGGUGUUUUGUAACGGCAGACUAACAGGACGGCUGUGUUCACAAAUGUGGCAUGUAUGUGCACGCUGUUUCUAGAAUUUUCCAGAACUGGGCAGGAGGGAGAGAACGGACUGUGUGCCACAGGUCCUUCUGUAUCUGCUCAUUUUUGUGACCUUCAUGUGAUGGGUUAACAUGCCUGCAAGGUCUGAGACUCUU